GACGAACGCUGGCGGCGUGCUUAACACAUGCAAGUCGAACGGUGAAGCGCCUUCCUUUUUGGUGGGUGUGGAUGAGUGGCGAACGGGUGAGUAACACGUGAGUAACCUGCCCCCUUCUUCUGGAUAACCGCAUGAAAGUGUGGCUAAUACAGGAUAUUCUGCGUCUGUCGCAUGAUUGGUCUGGGACAGAGAUUGUGUCGGUGGGGGAUGGGAUCGCGGCCUAUCAGCUUGUUGGUGGGGUGAUGGCCUAUCACGGCGGUGACGGGUAGCCGGCCUGGGAGGGUGGACGGUCAGACUGGGACUGAGACACGGCCGAGACUCCUACGGGAGGCAGCAGUGGGGAAUAUGGCACAAUGGGGGAGAGGCUGAUGCAGCGACGCCGCGUGAGGGAUGGAGGCCUUCGGGUUGUGAACCUCUUUCGCCAGUGAAGCAGGCCUGCCUCGUUUGUGGGUGGGUUGACGGUAGCUGGAUAAGAAGCGCCGGCUAACUACGUG
rnacentral:rRNA from 1 species